rnacentral:rRNA from 1 species
CCUACGGGAGGCAGCAGUGGGGAAUAUUGCACAAUGGGGGAAACCCUGAUGCAGCGACGCCGCGUGAGUGAAGAAGUAUCUCGGUAUGUAAAGCCUUAUCAGCAGGGAAGUUAAUGACGGUACCUGACCAAGAAGCCCCGGCUAACUACGUGCCAGCAGCCGUGGCAAUACGCAGGCUGCAAGCGUUAUCCGGAUUUACUGGGUGUAAAGGGAGCGUAGGCGGCAGCACAAGUCUGGAGUGAAAUUCCGGGGCUUAACCCCGGAACUGCUUUGGAAACUGGGCGGCUAGAGUUCAGGAGGGGUAAGCGGAAUUCCUGGUGUAGCGGUGAAAUGCGUAGAUAUUAGGAAGAACACCGAUGGCGAAGGCGGCUUACUGGACUGUAACUGACGUUGAGGCUCGAAAGCGUGGGGAGCAAACAGGAUUAGAUACCCGGGUAGUC